rnacentral:rRNA from 1 species
AACAAACGCUGGCGGCGUGCAUAACACAUGCAAGUCUAACGGGAAAGUCGGCUUCGGCUGGCAAGUACCGUGGCGAACGGGUGAGUAACACGUGGGUAAUCUAACCUUGAGUCUGGGAUAACCUUGCGAAAGCGAGGCUAAUACCGGAUAAGACCACGCCCUCCACGGGGGGUGCGGUAAAAGGUGGCCUCUUCAUGAAAGCUAUCACUUGAGGAUGAGCCCGCGGCCUAUUAGCUAGUUGGUGGGGUAAUGGCCUACCAAGGCGACGAUGGGUAGCCGGCCUGAGAGGGUGUACGGCCACACUGGAACUGAGACACGGUCCAGACUCCUACGGGAGGCAGCAGUGGGGAAUUUUGCGCAAUGGGGGAAACCCUGACGCAGCAACGCCGCGUGAGUGAUGAAGGCCUUCGGGUCGUAAAGCUCUUUUAGUGGGGAAGAAGCCCACCCUGGCUAAUAUCCAGGGUGUCUGACGGUACCCACAGAAAAAGUUCCGGCUAACUACGUGCCAGCAGCCGCGGUAAUACGUAGGGAGCAAGCGUUGUUCGGAAUUAUUGGGCGUAAAGAGCGCGUAGGCGGUUUGGUAAGUCUGACGUGAAAUCCCGGAGCUUAACUCCGGAACUGCGUUGGAUACUGCCAGGCUUGAGUGUGGGAGAGGUGAGUGGAAUUCCCAGUGUAGAGGUGAAAUUCGUAGAUAUUGGGAGGAACACCCGUGGCGAAGGCGGCUCACUGGACCACAACUGACGCUGAGGCGCGAAAGCUAGGGUAGCAAACGGGAUUAGAUACCCCGGUAGUCCUAGCCG